GACGAACGCUGGCGGCGUGCUUAACACAUGCAAGUCGAACGGAAAGGCCCUGCUUUUGUGGGGUGCUCGAGUGGCGAACGGGUGAGUAACACGUGAGUAACCUGCCCUUGACUUUGGGAUAACUUCAGGAAACUGGGGCUAAUACCGGAUAGGAGCUCCUGCUGCAUGGUGGGGGUUGGAAAGUUUCGGCGGUUGGGGAUGGACUCGCGGCUUAUCAGCUUGUUGGUGGGGUAGUGGCUUACCAAGGCUUUGACGGGUAGCCGGCCUGAGAGGGUGACCGGCCAUAUUGGGACUGAGAUACGGCCCAGACUCCUACGGGAGGCAGCAGUGGGGAAUAUUGGACAAUGGGCGGAAGCCUGAUGCAGCAACGCCGCGUGCGGGAUGACGGCCUUCGGGUUGUAAACCGCUUUCGCCUGUGACGAAGCGUGAGUGACGGUAAUGGGUAAAGAAGCACCGGCUAACUACGUG
rnacentral:rRNA from 1 species